rnacentral:rRNA from 1 species
UACGUAGGGGGCUAGCGUUGUCCGGAAUCAUUGGGCGUAAAGAGCGUGUAGGCGGUCCGGUAAGUCCGCUGUGAAAGUCGGGGGCUCAACCCUCGAAUGCCGGUGGAUACUGUCGGGCUAGAGUACGGAAGAGGCGAGUGGAAUUCCUGGUGUAGCGGUGAAAUGCGCAGAUAUCAGGAGGAACACCAAUUGCGAAGGCAGCUCGCUGGGACGGUACUGACACUAAGGCGCGAAAGCGUGGGGAGCGAACAGG